AGGAUAAACGCUGGCGGCGUGCCUAAUACAUGCAAGUCGAGCGGCAGCGCGGUCUUCGGACUGGCGGCGAGCGGCGGACGGCUGAGUAACACGUAGGAACGUACCCCAAAGUGAGGGAUAAGCACCAGAAAUGGUGUCUAAUACCGCAUGUGCUCUAAGGAGUAAAGCUUCGGCGCUUUGGGAACGGCCUACGCAUGAUUAGCUUGUUGGUGAGGUAAUGGCUCACCAAGGCGACGAUCAUUAGCUGGUCUGAGAGGAUGAUCAGCCAGACUGGGACUGAGAACGGCCCAGACUCCUACGGGAGGCAGCAGUAGGGAAUUUUCCACAAUGGGCGAAAGCCUGAUGGAGCAACGCCGCGUGCAGGAUGAAGGCCUUAGGGUUGUAAACUGCUUUUAUGUGUGACGAAUAUGACGGUAGCAUAUGAAUAAGGAUCGGCUAACUCCGUGCCGAGCAGCCGC
rnacentral:rRNA from 1 species